CCCUAGCCCCGAUAGAAGUGGAAAUCCUUUUGCUUUUUUCUUUAAAAAGCAAAAGAUUAAAACGGAUAGCGGGAAAUAGC
rnacentral:sRNA from 2 species